CGCCUGGGGAGUACGGCCGCAAGGCUAAAACUCAAAGGAAUUGACGGGGCCCCGCACAAGCGGCGGAGCAUGCGGAUUAAUUCGAUGCAACGCGUAGAACCUUACCUGGGUUUGACAUGGAUCGGGAGUGCUCAGAGAUGGGUGUGCCUCUUUUGGGGUCGGUUCACAGGUGGUGCAUGGCUGUCGUCAGCUCGUGUUGUGAGAUGUUGGGUUAAGUCCCGCAACGAGCGCAACCCUUGUUCACUGUUGCCAGCACGUUAUGGUGGGGACUCAGUGGAGACCGCCGGGGUCAACUCGGAGGAAGGUGGGGAUGACGUCAAGUCAUCAUGCCCCUUAUGUCCAGGGCUUCACGCAUGCUGCAAUGGCUGGUACAGAGAGUGGCGAGCCUGUGAGGGUGAGCGAAUCUCGGAAAGCCGGUCUCAGUUCGGAUUGGGGUCUGCAACUCGACCUCAUGAAGUCGGAGUCGCUAGUAAUCGCAGAUCAGCAACGCUGCGGUGAAUACGUUCCCGGGGCUUGUACACACCGCCCGUCAAGUCAUGAAAGUUGGUAACACCCGAAGCCGGUGGCCUAACCGUUGUGGGGGAGCCGUCGAAGGUGGGACUGGUGAUUAGGACUAAGUCGUAACAAGGUAACCGUA
rnacentral:rRNA from 1 species